GAUGAACGCUGGCGGCGUGCCUAAUACAUGCAAGUCGAGCGAACAGACGAGGAGCUUGCUCCUCUGACGUUAGCGGCGGACGGGUGAGUAACACGUGGAUAACCUACCUAUAAGACUGGGAUAACUUCGGGAAACCGGAGCUAAUACCGGAUAAUAUAUUGAACCGCAUGGUUCAAUAGUGAAAGACGGUUUUGCUGUCACUUAUAGAUGGAUCCGCGCCGCAUUAGCUAGCUGGUAAGGUAACGGCUUACCAAGGCGACGAUGCGUAGCCGACCUGAGAGGGUGAUCGGCCACACUGGAACUGAGACACGGUCCAGACUCCUACGGGAGGCAGCAGUAGGGAGUCUUCCGCAAUGGGCGAAAGCCUGACGGAGCAACGCCGCGUGAGUGAUGAUGGUCUUCGGAUCGUAAAACUCUGUUAUUAGGGAAGAACAAAUGUGUAAGUAACUAUGCACGUCUUGACGGUACCUAAUCAGAAAGCCACGGCUAACUACGUG
rnacentral:rRNA from 1 species